UAAUUUAUAAAAGAGUAUUAUACAGCAUUCAAGGGAGUAGUGCUUUAGAAUGACAUCAUCGUGCCUUCUGCUAUAGCAGCAGAACAACUUUACAAACAAUAACAAAUCUCUCUUGUCUGUUAGUUUGUGUUUACUGUUGCUAUGGUGAUUCAGUGUUUGCAAGGGAGUGAGAGAAGAUUGAGAGAAAAAGCGUCAUUUGUAUAUGAGAGUGAAAUCUGCACACGAGUGCCACCUGGAGUUUUCCUGGGUUUUCGCUUUGAUUUUGAGUGAUUUCCUUGGCUGGGUUUUUUGUGUGUGUCGAAGCAUCUGUGAUGAGUCCCUAAUUCACGUUGGACUCGAGGAGAAACUUACGGCGAGCCACCCACGGAACCGACUCUCCUGUUAGACUGUGUGUUUGUGCCACCGGACUGGUAGGAGAGUUCUUUUGAUUGUUUGGAGAAACGAGACUCGGACUCAUCGCGACCUUCCGGUUUUCCUUCUUACUUUUCCUAAAAUCCUCAACGGAAAACCUUUACUGGAACUGAGCUAAGAGAAUCAACAGUUCUCUUUCACGAAAUCCUUGGUAUUGAACUGUGAACGGCAAACGGUGGAACGAAUCAUCUAAAAGCGAAACAAAUCUUUUGGACAGCAAACCGAAUCUUUUGGGUAGCGAACGAUUCAUUUGAACAGAGUAACGAUCUUUUGAACAGGGAGGUGAUUCAUUUGAACCGUGUAUUGAUUCUUUGAACAGAGAGGUGAUUUAUUUGAGCACAUUAAUGAUUUAUUGAGUUAAAAGUGUGAAUAUUGAAUUAUAGCCUGCAUUUGAGUAGAGUUGGUAUAAUUAUUAUUGAUUUAUUUCUUUAUUUUCAGAGUACAGAGUAUUUUUUAUCACAAAUUUAUUGCCUUCUUUACUUUGUUUUAUACAAAGGGUAACACAGUGUUGUAGCUUUCUAAGAUUUUUAUUUUUAUUUUGUACAAGUGUUUGAAAUUUCUCAACUGUCUUGAUCACAACUUUGUUUUAACUGUAUAUUGACUUCACGUUCAUCUGUGUAAAGAAAAAAAGAGAAAACUAUUUACUUUUCAUUAUUAUAAUUUAUAAUCGAACCUAUAUAUACAUAAAUACUUAUGCUUAUUGGACAGAAAUUCACAAACUCAUAACAUAUUUCUAAUUAUAUAAACUAUAUUGAAGGAAAAAA